rnacentral:miRNA from 1 species
CAGGCCAGUCCCUCACAAGCCAGUAACUUCCAGGGUAGCCACGGGACUUACUUGGUAGUCAGGGCGAGCCCUUGACUUGGAGUCAGGAGACCU